GGGCACAGCCAUAUCACCCUGCAGCACAAGACCGGUUACUCUGAAGCUAAGCAGGGCUGAGCCUGGUCAGUACCUGGAUGGGAGACCACAUACAGUAGGAAAAACUAGGUUGAGUCCU
rnacentral:rRNA from 1 species